ensembl:lncRNA
UCUGAAUCUCACUUUAAAGGUACUCACCUCUUUCUUUUGUCUUUGGAAGGAGUUGAAGUGUUUACUUUGCUAAAGAUAUUUUCAUCUCCCACAAGAACAGAAUACAAAAGGUUUUUGGCACAGUGUCAAUGGGAUCAGAGGGAGACUGAACUGGAAAAUAACAGAAAGCAGGGACUAUGGAGAGGAGUGGAGUCCAUCGUUUUUCUGCUUGCUGGAGAGGUUAAGGACAGAUGCAGAAGUGCCCAAGCUUCAUAGGACUGAGGAGCUUGUGCUGUCAUUCGUACCAAAGCCCAGCUUUCAGAAAAUAUGACAACUUCUGCAUAAAUUCUGUUUUAUAUAGUACAUAAAAUCGUUAUUGGCUAUCACACAUCAGAUGUCUUCUCCCAGGACUAUAUAUUUUUUCCACUGUUUUAUCUCCCAUACUUUGGUCACAUACCACAGAUCACACUGCGUUAUAGUAAGACAUACUCUGUGAAAGGAUGUGGGAGAGAAGAUUAAAAUAAGGACACAGAGUUGUAUGUGGGGGAUGCAGGGCAAAUAGGAAUUAAAAUCUUGAUUCCUGGAUUCUGUGUGUAGUAUAAUAAAAGAUGGCAGUCUAUUGGAUUAGUGUGGUAA